rnacentral:rRNA from 1 species
CAAUAGCGUAUAUUAAAGUUGUUGCGGUUAAAAGCUCGUAGUUGGAUUUCUGCCGAGGACGACCGGUCCGCCCUCUGGGUGAGUAUCUGGUUCGGCCUGGGCAUCUUCUUGGAGAACGUAUCUGCACUUGACUGUGUGGUGCGGUAUCCAGGACUUUUACUUUGAGGAAAUUAGAGUGUUCAUAGCAGGCUUACGCCGUUGAAUACAUUAGCAUGGAAUAAUAAGAUAGGACUUUGGUGAUCUAUUUUGUUGGUUUGCACACCAAGGUAAUGAUUAAUAGGGACAGUUGGGGGUAUUCGUAUUCAAUUGUCAGAGGUGAAAUUCUUGGAUUUAUGGAAGACGAACUACUGCGAAAGCAUUUACCAAGGAUGUUUUCAUUUAUCAAGAACGAAAGUUAGGGGAUCGAAGACGAUCAGAUACCGU